GACGAACCGUCCAAACGUUAUUCGGUAUCACUGGGCUUAAAGCGUGCGUAGGCGGCCCGAAAGGUGAGGUGUGAAAUCCCACGGCUCAACCGUGGAAUUGCGCUUCAAACCAUCGGGCUGGAGGAAGGCAGGGGUGAGCGGAACUGAUGGUGGAGCGGUGAAAUGCGUUGAUAUCAUCAGGAACACCGGUGGCGAAAGCGGCUCACUGGGCCUUUUCUGACGCUGAGGCACGAAAGCUAGGGGAGCAAACGGG
rnacentral:rRNA from 1 species